GCUGGGAUCAGCCAGCUGAGAUGGGUUGGCAUCUUCAAGGAUGCCUCCUAGGUGGAUCCAUUCAGAGAUUCUUUCGGCAUGCCCAACUGGGAGGAGAUCCUGGAGUAUACCCAGAACCUGGUGUAGAGGUAUAUCUGUUCUGGACUGGGAUUACCUCAGAAUCCACUAACAAGAACCGUACGUGUAAACAAGAAGGUGAAUGAGGGAAAUGAGGUUCCAGCGUUCAGCCACGUGUGAAUAGAUUCCUCAUUCUUCAUCCCCGAACAAGUGCCGCGCUACAACAACAGCGAGACGACGAGCGGACAUGCAGCCAUGAUACCAUCCCUGCUGAGGCGUUCGGAUCGGCAUGUGGAUUAUGAACUGAGUCUAAGGAGGAGCCGAGAUGCUGCGAAGAUCCCCAAAUGUCAAUCACCUGUCCUUCCCUGCUGUGCAUAGAUAUGACCUUGGUACUCUGCCUGUGAUUUGCAGUCCGGACGAUGCAGCAGCAUAACAUCUGUUUACGUUAGCAAUGUCAAAGAGUGUUGACCAAGGCGUGGGAACGCAAGGCGAUGCAUGCGGGACCCCCACGCGCUCACAGGGAGGUACGAGUGCAGUGAGAGCCUGAAUCUUGGGGGAAGCACGUACAGGCAAACCACACACAUUCUGCAGAUAAACACGCAGAUGCACACGUUCAGGCUCCUCCCUGCAGGCAGGCGGCCAUCAGAGCAACGCAGUGCUUGUCAUCUCAGCGUUUCAUCAGGCCAAGCUGCUGCCCUUGGGAAAUAUGGCUUUUUUCUUAAGCAGCCACUCUAUAUGAGCAAGCAGCUAAAGGACUUCAGUAACCAAUUUGUUGUCACUGACUAUUUAGUAACUGGUU